GUGGGAUGUGGGGACGGGGUGA
rnacentral:miRNA from 1 species